GGGGUCCCGGUGUCACCUAUGGGGGGAAGGAGAUGGAACCGCCGUCGUCGUCUUCCGGGACCCCCACGUGGUGCCGCGGGUGCUGCGGAGAACCCAUCGGCUGCAGGACGUGGAGCUGCGCGUGGCGCCCUAUUACCCGGCCCUGGACCCAAACGGAACCGCUCCGGUACCGCACGGGGACACACGCACGGAGCCGGCACCGCCUGCUCACCGAUACCUUGGUACCGAACCGCGGGGUGUGGAUCCGGUACCGGGGGGUGAUAGAGAUAUGGGUCUGACACCGGGGGGUGUGGAUUUGGUACCGGGGGGUGAUAGAGAUAUGGGUCUGGUACUGGGAGGUGUGGAUUUGGUACCGGGGGGUGUGGAUUUGGUACCGGGGGGUGAUAGAGAUAUGUGUCAGGUACUGGGGGCUGUGGAUC
ensembl:lncRNA